ACGCACGCUGGCGGCGUGCUUCACCCCUGCCAGUCGCACGGAAAGGCCCUGCUUUUGUGGGGUGCUCGAGUGGCGAACGGGUGAGUAACACGUGAGUAACCUGCCCUUGACUUUGGGAUAACUUCAGGAAACUGGGGCUAAUACCGGAUAGGAGCUCCUGCUGCAUGGUGGGGGUUGGAAAGUUUCGGCGGUUGGGGAUGGACUUGCGGCUUAUCAGCUUGUUGGUGGGGUAGUGGCUUACCAAGGCUUUGACGGGUAGCCGGCCUGAGAGGGUGACCGGCCACAUUGGGACUGAGAUACGGCCCAGACUCCUACGGGAGGCAGCAGUGGGGAAUAUUGCACAAUGGGCGGAAGCCUGAUGCAGCAACGCCGCGUGCGGGAUGACGGCCUUCGGGUUGUAAACCGCUUUCGCCUGUGACGAAGCGUGAGUGACGGUAAUGGGUAAAGAAGCACCGGCUAACUACGUG
rnacentral:rRNA from 1 species